AACACUGUUAACCUGCGGUACCUGCGGAAGGAUCAUUACACAAUAAACAUAUGAAGGCUGCACCGCCAACAGGCGGCAAGGCUGGAGUAUUUUAUUACCCUUGUCUUUUGCGCACUUGUUGUUUCCUGGGCGGGUUCGCCCGCCUCCAGGACCACAUGAUAAACCUUUUUUAUGCAGUUGCAAUCAGCGUCAGUACAACAAAUGUAAAUCAUUUACAACUUUCAACAACGGAUCUCAGAU
rnacentral:misc_RNA from 1 species